CUCGCUUAGCCUCUCAACCAGAUCGACUUGCAAAAACUGCGCUCAGCUCCAAGCAAAGGCAUGCCUCCUCCCCAUGCUGAUCGUAGCGCUACAUCCGGCGUAACGGCUGUCUCCGAUGUUAGCCUGACCGAGCAAGAGGGUUUGGGCGAACAUGCGUCGAGUGGCGUGGUUCGGGGAGCGGAAAACAGCGCGUCAGCUGCAACAGACAUCAAUGGCAUCGUCCAUGGCAACACCACUCUGCCCCUGGUGGGCUGAAGAUGCUAAUCCUGUUGAAGGGUACGGUGACUUCAACCCCAUGGUCAUGCUGAUCGAGACUGCUCCUACAGAAAGUUGUGCGUCGAGCGGUGCGUGCUCGCGGGUCGGUGACGCCCGGCCGGGUUCCUGUUGCGAAGAUGAAGAAGUGACGAGCCCCCGCUCAAAAAAUCCAGGCUGGUUUGACAUUAGUCGUCUAGGUAUAAUUAGUGAGCGGUUGAAGUCUGUGUUUGGUGUGCUUAGUCAGUCGCGUGUGUGUUGGCAGUUUCUAGUGUGAGCAAAAAAUCAUUCAGCAUGUACUACGUAUUCAACUACUCGUUGCCGCUUCCAAUAAAAAGAACUGUUCGACCAA